GAUGAACGCUAGCUACAGGCUUAACACAUGCAAGUCGAGGGGAAACGAUAUUGGAAGCUUGCUUCCGAUAGGCUUCGACUGGCGCACGGGUGAGUCACGCGUAUCCAACCUGCCCACCACUUGGGGAUAACCUUGCGAAACUAAGACUAAUACCCAAUGAUAUCCAUAGAAGACAUCUGAAAUGGAUUAAAGAUUCAUCGGUCAUGGAUGUGGAUGCUUCUGAUUAGUUUGUUGGCGGGGUAACGACCCACCAAGGCGUCGAUCAGUAGGGGUUCUGAGAGGAAGGUCCCCCACAUUGGAACUGAGACACGGUCCAAACUCCUACGGGAGGCAGCAGUGAGGAAUAUUGGUCAAUGGGCGAGAGCCUGAACCAGCCAAGUAGCGUGCAGGAUGACGGCCCUAUGGGUUGUAAACUGCUUUUAUAAGGGAAUAAAGUGGGAGUCGUGACUCCUUUUGCAUGUACCUUAUGAAUAAGGACCGGCUAAUUCCGUGCCAGCAGCCGCCGUAA
rnacentral:rRNA from 1 species